UGGGUGACGAGAGCACGUACUCUGAGCAGCAGAUACCCUGGAAUCCGUCGUCUGCUGUCCUCCACGGUUUCCAGUUUCCUCCUGGUCCUGUGAGCUUCUCUUACUUCCCUAGUGAGAACGCUGAAAAACUUUUCAACUGAAAUACCACACUGAAGGACAAAAUAACAGAAGUAGAAUGUCCCCACUGGGAUGGAGAUGAAGCUUCCUGCUUUCCUGCACCGUCUCACACCUCCCUCGAGUCCCUCUCCGGAUUCUGUGCUCUGGGAAACACAUCUGAAACCACCAGCCAGAGAGCAAGAUGGGGUCCCUUAUGUCAAGCAGUGAUGCAAGCAGCCAAGGGUAUUGAGCUACGACCGGGUAUGGUGGAAACUAGCACAGCUAACCCACGCAGAACUGACAACCAGCAGAACCAGAGGAAGUCUGCAAAGGGCCAAGACUGAUAAACUCCUAUAAAAAGGGAGGAUUUUUGAGCAAACUGUCAGACUUUCUAGAUGCUGACCCUCUCGUGUCUGACCACAUCAAAAGGUUGUAGAAGGUUCACCUUGAGUAAUCUCUGAGCAGAACAGAUCCUUCCCCGCUUGAACGUGGGAAGCACCAAGUUCAAGUUGGAUCUGAGUCAGACCGAACCAAGACCUCAUCUUGACUGCGCGCUCACGUUUGGUUUGUUAACUUUCUAGCCCG